UACGUAGGGGGCAAGCGUUGUCCGGAAUCACUGGGCGUAAAGCGCGCGCAGGCGGUCAUCUACGUCUGGGGUGAAAGCCCGGAGCUCAACUCCGGGACUGCCUUGGAUACGGGAUGACUUGAGGAUCGGAGAGGCAAGGGGAAUUCCACGUGUAGCGGUGAAAUGCGCAGAUAUCAGGAGGAACACCGGUGGCGAAGGCGGUGAUCUGGGCCAGUACUGACGCUGAGGAGCGAAAGCGUGGGGAGCGAACAGG
rnacentral:rRNA from 1 species